rnacentral:misc_RNA from 1 species
UUAUUUUGUUAUUAUCAAGACGUUCAUGACUACAAUGUUUGUAAAGGUCCGAAGACCACAGUGCACAGGUGUAUUGAAGGAUAAGUGCUUGCGCACAUCUAUAAUGAUCCUUCCGCAGGUUCACCUACGGAAA